rnacentral:rRNA from 1 species
UACGGAGGAUCCAAGCGUUAUCCGGAUUCAUUGGGUUUAAAGGGUGCGUAGGCGGAAUGAUAAGUCAGUGGUGAAAUCCUGCAGCUUAACUGCAGAACUGCCAUUGAUACUGUCAAUCUUGAGUACAUUUGAUGUGGGCGGAAUGUGUCAUGUAGCGGUGAAAUGCUUAGAUAUGACACAGAACACCGAUUGCGAAGGCAGCUCACAAAACUGUAACUGACGCUGAGGCACGAAAGCGUGGGUAGUCAAACG